AACGAACGCUGGCGGCGCGCCUAAUACAUGCAAGUCGAGCGAGAAGACGUAGCAAUACGUUUGUAAAGCGGCGAACGGGUGAGGAAUACAUGGGUAACCUACCCUCGAGUGGGGAAUAACUAGCCGAAAGGUUAGCUAAUACCGCGUACGCUCCUUGGACUUCGGUUCAGGGAGGAAAGCGAUACCGUGGGUAUCGCGCUCUUGGAUGGGCUCAUGUCCUAUCAGCUUGUUGGUGAGGUAACGGCUCACCAAGGCUUCGACGGGUAGCUGGUCUGAGAGGACGAUCAGCCACACUGGCACUGCGACACGGGCCAGACUCCGACGGGAGGCAGCAGUAAGGAAUAUUGCGCAAUGGGCGAAAGCCUGACGCAGCGACGCCGCGUGGGGGAUGAAGGUCUUCGGAUUGUAAACCCCUUUCGGGAGGGAAGAUGGAAUGGGGUAACCCAUUUGGACGGUACCUCCAGAAGCAGCCACGGCUAACUUCGUGCCAGCAGCCGCAGUAACAC
rnacentral:rRNA from 1 species